rnacentral:tRNA from 1 species
GGGGGUAUAGCUCAGGGUUAGAGCAUGAGACUGCAAGACCGAGAGGUCACCAGUUCGAUUCCAGAUACCCCCU